CCCUCCCCAUCCCAUCCCUCAGGGUCAUCCCAGUGCACCAGCCCUGAGCACCCUGUCUCAUGCAUCGAACCUGGACUGGCGAUCUGUUUCACAUAUGAUAAUAUACAUGUUUCAAUGCUAUUCUCUCAAAUCAUCCCACCCUUGCCUUCUCCCACAGAGUCAAAAAGUCUGUUCUUUACAUCUGUCUCUUUUGCUAUCUCACAUUUAGGGUCAUCAUUACCAUCUUUCUAAAUCCCAUAUAUAUGCAUUAAUAUACUGUAUUGGUGUUUUUCUUUCUGACUUCAUUCUGUAUAACAAGCUCCAGUUUCAUCCACCUCAUUAGAACUGAUUCAAAUGUAUUUCUUUUUAAUGGCUGAGUAAUACUCCAUUGUGUAUGUGUACCACAGCUUUCUUAUCCAUUCAUCUGCUGAUGGACAUCUAGGUUGCUUCCAUGUCCUGGCUAUUGUAAAUGGUGCUGUGAUGAACAUUGGGGUAUACGUGUCUCUUUCAGUUCUGGUUUCCUUGGUGUGUAUGCCCAGCAGUGGGAUUGCUGGGUCAUAUGGCAGUUCUCUUUCCAGUUUUUUAAGGAAUCUCCACAUUGUUCUCCAUAGUGGCUGUACUAGUUUGCAUUCCCACCAACAGUGUAAGAGGGUUCCCUUUUCUCCGCACCCUCUCCAGCGUUUAUUAUUUGUAGACUUUUUGAUAGCACUCCAGAAUUCUUGCCUGGAGACAGAGGAGCUUGGUGGGCUACUGUCCAUGGGGUCACAAAGAGUCAGACAUGACUGAGUGACUUUCUUUAAGUCAAAUAUAAUUCUUUCUUAUAAUCAUGAUUGUUUUUACUGUUGAGCCAAAUGAGUAGAUUCCGAGAGGUAAAACUGAAACUCAGAAAAACCCUAGAAAUAUUAAAUUACUGGAAGUCAAGCACAGUGAACAAGUUUUAGAUUCUAGAUGGGAUGUCACGUGUUUUGAGAGUUUGGGCUGCAGAGAAGGUAGAAACGCCAUCUUCUCAAACCUCAUCCUCCCCUUGUGCUAUGCCUAAAGAGUAGCUGGCCCUGGGUCCUUCUGGAAUUAAGACUAGAGAGAGAAGACUGAUGAUAUAUUUGAAGAGGCUUAGAAUGAAAUCAGUAAUUAAAUGUUGAUAAUAGAACUUCAGAGAAGAAUGGGCUGAGAGGGGUGGAAAGAGACCUUUUGAUUUAACUAGUCCUGUAUGUGUGUGUGUGUGUGUGUGUGUGUGUGUGUGUGUGCACGUGCUGACAAAGAAAAUGAGGCCUAAGGAUUUAAAUGAUUUAGCCCAUGGUUCCUGCUAUAUACUGCCAGAGUAAGAAUUUGCAGUUUCCUUACUCCUUGUUAAGGCUAGGCUAGAUGGGCUUAGGCUGGUGGCAUCUUACAGACUUUGCUUAAAUGGACCCCCUUUUUGGUAGUACUAGAUAAUGAAGGUCUGUUCUUAGUAAUUCAUAUUUAGGGCUUAAAAAUGAAAGAUUUACUUACUUAAAUUUUCAUGUUAAAUUAAGAAAAUUGGUGUUAAAUGUUAGAGGAUGUUGAUCUAGCAUCUAUUGCCUAAACAUCCCAUAAACUCAUUCUGAAAAUUUCAGUAACUCUAUAGACCCGAUCCUCUGUACCCAAAACAAAUCUUGACCAUCAGUCUUAAUUUAUCUAUAUCUAUUUGUUGUUGUUUAAUGUCAGAAAUCAUGAGCUAUCUUUGGUUGUCUUUCUGACUCCUGCCACAGUAAAAUGCAAAGACAGAGGAAGAACAACUGUAAGUGUGAUUUAUUAGUAAAGUGAUUUCUUCCCAGCCUUGAGUUUUUAUUCAGAAUUCUGGUUAAUUCGAAACUUUUUUUUAACAAUUGAAUAGGAAUGUGUAGGAAUUUGGAGUAGCUCCUUUGAGGGAUACUGAGAGAGAGGGAGUGAUGGAACAGAAUGAGGAGAAUCUAAAGUGAUGAUAUGUAAAGCAGGUCACAGAACAGGCUUAUAGAAUUUUUGUGUGUUUUCUACCCCAUUUUCAAAGUCUUUAUUGAAUUUGUUACAAUAUUGCUUCUGUUUUAUGAUUUGGCUUUUUGGCCACAAGGCAUGUGGGAUCUUAGCUUUCAGCUAGGGAUUGAACCCUCACACCCAGCAUUAGAAGAUGCAGUCUCAACUAAUGGACCACCAGGGAAGUCCCAGGAUUACAGAAUUUUAGAAUGAAACCUUGGAAAGGAGAGAAAGGGAGAUAGAGGAAGUUGAGAGAAGAGAUACAUUGUGAUAAAUAUUGAUAAACUUACAUUGAUACUUUGAAUUGAAUAAAUUGUCUGCUUAAGACUACCUUGGUUUAGGUCUCUAUCACAUGCAGUGCCCUAUGUAAGUCACUUCAGUAAUGUCUGACUCUUUGAGACCCUAUGGACUGUAGUCAGCCAGGCUCCUCUGUCCAUGGGGUUCCUAGGCAUGAAUGCUGGAGUGGGUUACCAUGCCCUCCUCCAGGGGAUCUUCCAGGGAUCAAACCUGCAUCUCUUGUGUCUCCUGCAUUGACAGAAAACCUUACUAAUACUCAUUUAAUUUUUAUGAGAAUUCAUAUAACACAGCUAUUGAAUCAAAUUAUAUCCCUAGAAACGAAUUGUUUUAUGAGUCUGCUGAAACUAAAGUGCAUUGUAGAAUUUUUUCCUAAAUCACUCCUCUGUUAUAGAGAAAUUAAUUUUAAAUGUGUUGAUUUCUUUAGUUAGUAUUUUUGAAAGCUGGAUAAGUUAGCCACUUUUUUUUUUUUUUAAAGAAAUGCACCUUCAGCUUUGAGUCAUCUUAAAUUAGAUGUCAUCUUAAAUUUUGAGUCACCUAAAAUUAGUAAUAUUUAGCAGGAAAAAAAAGUGUAAAUUCAGAUGAAGAAUUGAUUCUUUAGUAGUUGCUCUGGGUUGAAAAAUGAAAACCAUAUGGUCUCUUUCUAGAAGCCUGCAACCUAGUUGGGUGUGGAGAGUGAUAAGGCUAGUGCACAAAUAACCACCACACAAUGCAGAGCUGAUUAGCGAUAAAUGCCGUAGAGAGGCACAAAGUUCAUGGGCCUGUCACAGGAAGUAUUGUCUAAUUCUUCUUUUGUUUAACUAGCAUAGCACUUAAUUUUUUUUACUCUGCUUUAAAUUAAGAUAUACAUAGCGUUCACUUUUUUAAAGUGUAAAUUUCAGUGUGUUCUGAUAUUCACAAGGUUGUGCAUCUUCACCACUAUCUAAUUCCCAAAUAAACUUCUUUUAAAAAUUAAAGUGUAAACUUCUUUUAACAAUUAAAAUGGUUUUAGCUAUGGUAUGUUCUCUGGUUCAGACUCUACCACCUCCCUACUGGUUUACAUCUGGCUGCUUCUGCUAUUUACAUUGGCCACCUGAUUCCUGAAGGCAUUUAAGCUUGCUACCAGGCUUCCCUGGGACUUCCCUGGUGGCUCAGUUGGUAAAAAAAAAUCCACGUGCAAUGCAGGAUAUGUGGGUUCAAUCCCUGGGUCAAGAAGAUCCCCUGGCAAAGGAAAUGGUGACCCAUUCCAGUAUUCUUGCCUGGGAAAUCCCAUCGACAGAGGAGCCUGGUGGACUACAGUCCAUGGGGCUGCAAGAGUUGGACAUGAUCUAGUAGCUACACCACCGCCACCCACCAGGCUGGAGGAGUGCUUUUUUUCUAGUUUCCUUUACUUGAAUGCAGAUGCCACCAUUGCCCUGGAGGUGCAGGUGUGGGGAUACUGACUGCUCUCCUGCUGAGCAUCCUUUUUCCCACCUUUAUCCCUUUUCCCACUCUACCUUCUGACUCCUUCAUAUGGUCCCCACCUCUCCUGUAUGCAGCCCUUUGUGAGAGAUGAUUCUAUUGCCCUCAAAAGGGCUUCCUUGAAAUAAAAUUGAAACUCCUUUUCUUAGCUUACAGAUCCUUACAUGAUCUGGCUCUCUUCUCAUCAGAUAAAUCUUUCUGUUCCAUGACAUUGUCAAACUUGUUCCCUCUCCCUGGAAUGCUUUUCUCUCUGCUCUUUUCAUGACUGAUUCUGUCUUGUCAUUCAUAUCUCAUAUUAAAUAUUACUAUGCAGAGAGGUCUUCCCCUGGUCAUUGAAUCUAAAGCAGCUGCUUGCUCCCUUUCCACACAACCCUAAUUUAACUAUCACCACAGUUGUCAUGGGUCUCAUUUUGUUGUUAAUAAUUUUCUCCCUUCACUAAAAUGUAAGUUCAGUGUUAGUGGGUCCCUUAUUUGUCACAUAUAUAACUGUUUCCUGAGCUUCUAGAAUAGUGUCUGGCACAUGGCACAACAUUUAUUUGUCAAAUAAAUGGUUGUUUUGAACUCUGACUCCUGCUCUGUCUGGUUCAUCUGCCAGGAUGAUUCUCCCUGUUGCUGUCUUCCAGAAAUUUGCCAAAAAUCUCAGGUCCUUUGAUGCCUUUGCCAUCUCCAGCUCUCACUGCCUUUAUCAGUUAAUUCCCUUUUGUAAUUGUUUACUGUCAUUUCAGUGGAAUGAAAUGUAUUCUGUCACUCUUUUGACAGGUUGAUAUAUUUUUGUCAGGUUGAAAACAUGAACAAAGGCCAAGACAGGAAAGCAUGGCUUGUUUUUUUGACUGAUUGAAGGGUAGAAAACAAAGUUGAAAAUUUAGGUUGAGGUCAUGUCAGAGAGGGUCUGGAAUCAUUUGAUUAAGAGUUUGUAUUUAAUUUAGAAUGUCUUGAACCUUUGUGGGAUGUUUGAGCAGAAUCAUGACAUGAAGAGUUUUUAAGAAAGGUUGGUCUGAAGUUACUAGAAUAAUCUGAGGAUGAUUCAUUGUGAAACGUGGUCAACAAAUGAAAAGGAAUUAGAAAAAUGGUUGAGCCUCCCCGACGCUCACACUGGUGAAUUGGUCUGUGAUAACUACGAUUUAGCAAUGUGAUUUUUAUUUACAUGGAUUGGUUGAUUGUAUGGGGAACUGUAUUGGAUGUGUGUUCUAUUAGUAUAGUUACAUGUUGUAAAUGUCUUAGAACUUUUACAUUAAUGAGAGAGAGAGAAAGCAGACAUCUCGGCUUUGUUGAGUCGGGAUAUUUGGUCAACUCUGGCAGUUCAUAUCCCUGGAUGUUGGCAAGAGGUCAGGGAAUAUGUUAAUGAAUAAUGCAGGGUGUUAACUAGUGUUUCAGUGUUAACUCCCUUUGUUCUCCAUUUAGUAACAAAAACUUAAAAAUCAAAACAUCUUUAAAAACAACUCCAGCUUAAAAUCUACAUUUAACUUUAGCCCUAUUAUUUGAUUAAAUGCUAGUCUUUGAUUUAGAACUGUAUUCUGAUUUCUUCCUGACCUACUUGUAAUGUUCAUCAACUUUUUUUUUUUUCCACUUCGUUACUUGUUUUUUUUCAUCCAGAGUUUGGAAAUGAUUGUCUUUUGCCUCUGAAAAAAUUAACUGAUGAGUAAUUAUUUUUCUAAGCUGUUAAGCUUUAUUUCCACUAAGGAAAACUAAUUUUAUGAUGAUCAAAAUAACCUUAAAAAAGUUUACUGAGUGAACCAGGCAAAUGCAGUUUAGAAAAGGUAACACAUGCAUACCUAAUAAAAACCAUAUGUUGGAGAAAUAUGCAGUUGUCUCCAGUUAAUUUUUUAAUUUUAAAUGAUUUGCUAGUUGACAUAUUUUAUUUUCCUAACUACAAAUUCUUGAGGGAUAGAGACUGUUCUUUCUUUUUAUCUCCCCUCCCUCCUUUCUCUCUCUUCUUUAAUUUAUUGUGAUAUAAUUUUAGACUUAUGGAAAAGGUUUAAGAAGAGUAUAAACAACUCCCAUAUUCCCUGUACCUAGAUUCACCUAUUAUUUACAUUUUGCCCUGGUAGCUCAAACAGUAUCAUAUCUAUACAUACACACAAACACGUUUUUUUAUGAGCCAGUUAAGAGUAAGUUGCAGGCAUUAUGCCUCUUUAUGGUUAAAUGUUUCCUAAGAACAAAGAUAUUCUCAUAUAACAUCAGUACUAUUAUCAAAAUCAGGAAAUGUAACAUUGGGGGAUACAGUACCAUGAUCUAAUCUACAAUCCAUAAUCAAAUUUUGUCAAUUAUCCCAAUUUUGUCCUUUGUAGCUAUGUUUAUGUAUAUAAUGUAACUUUUCUAGGUCCAGGAUCCAGCUGCAGGAUCAAACAUUGCAUUUAGUUGUGCUGUCUCUUUGGGGGAGGGGGGAAAGGUGAAAGUGUUAGUUGCUCUGUCUCGUUGGACUGUUUGCCACCCCAUAGGCUGUAGCCUGCCAGGCUCCUCUGUCCAUGGGAUUUCCCAGGCAAGAAUGCUGGAGUAGGUAGCCAUCCUCUACUCUAGGGGAUCUUCCUGACCCAGGGAUCGAAUCCAAGUCUCCUGCUUUGCAGGUAGAUUCUCUACUGUCUCAGCCACCAGGGAAGCCCUUUCCUUUAAUCUGGAAUGUAUCCUCAGCUUUUCUUUGUGCUCUUCACUGUUAACAGUUUUGAAAACUACAGGCCAGUUAUUUUAUAAAGUGUCUUAGGAUUAAUUUAGGUAAUGAAUUUUUGUCAGGAAUACUACAAAAUGAAUAUGCCUUCAAUUGCAGGCAGAUUCUUUACUGUCUGAGCUGCCAGGGAAGCCCCUCGGGAAGCAUAAGGUUUGCCCCAGAAGUGGUGAUGUUAAGUUGAUAACUUGGUUACGGCAGCAUACCUCCAGUAAUUUGUGGGGUGGCACUUUGAAAACGUAUAAGUGUCUCAUCAAAUAUUCAUCCACUAGUGUUGGCAUCUACUGAUGACUUUUGCCUGGAUCAGUUGUUCUACAGUGGUUGUAACAGGGACCGUCUGUUGUUCCUUCUGUGUUAAUUCGUUUGCAUUUUACUGUAAGGAAAACUUUCUUGCCUAUUGUUUAUUUAUAUCAAACUAGAUAUAAAGACUCGGAGAAGGCAAUGGCACCCCACUCCAGUACUCUUGCCUGGAAAAUCCCAUGGAUGGAAGGGCCUGGUAGGCUGCAGUCCAUGGUGUUGCUAAGAGUUGGACACAACUGAGCGACUUCACUUUCACUUUCCACUUUCAUGCAUUGGAGAAGGAAAUGGCAACCCACUCCAGUGUUCUUCCCUGGAGAAUCCCAGGGACAGGGGAGCCUGGUGGGCUGCCAUCUAUGGGGUUGCACAGAGUUGGACAUGACUGAAGCGACUCAGCAGCAGUAGCAGCAGCAGCAGCAAAUAUAAAGACUAGAGGUAUCUUCAAGAAAAUUACAGAUACCGAGAGGACAUUUCAUGCAAAGAUGAGCACAGUUAAGGACAGAAACAGUAUGGACCUAACAGAUGCAGAAGAUAUCAAGAAGAGGUGGCAAGAAUACAAAAAAGAUCUUAAUGACCCAGAUAACCACAAUGGUAUGAUCACUCACCUAGAACCAGACAUCCUGGAGUGUGAAGUCAAGUGGGCCUUAGGAAGCAUCACUACAAACAAAACUAGUGGAGGUGAUAGAAUUCCAGUUGAGCUAUUUCAAGUCCUAAAAGAUGGAGUGGAGGUGAUGUAAUUCGAGCUGAGCAUCCUAAAAGAUGAUUCUGUUAAAGUGUUGCACUCAACAUGCCAGCAAAUUUGGAAAACUCAGCAGUGGCCACAGGACUGGAAAAUGUCAGUUUUCAUUCCAGUCCCAAAGAAAGGCAAUGCCAAAGAAUGCUCAAACUACCGCAUAAUUGCACUCAUCUCACACGCUAGCAAAGUAAUACUCAAAAUUCUCUAAACAAGACUUCAACAGUAUGUGAACCGAGAACUUCCAGGUAUUCAAGCUGGAUUUAGAAAAGAGAUCAAAUUGCCAACAUCCGUUGGAUCAUUGAAAAAGCAAGAGAGUUCCAGAAAAACAUCUACUUCUGCUUCAUUGAUUACGCCAAAACCUUUGACUGUGUGGAUCACAAAAAACUGUGGAAAAUUCUUAAAGAGAUGGGAAUACCAGACUACUUAAUCUGCUUCCUGAGAAAUCUGUAUGCAAGUCAAGAAGCAACAAUUAGAACCAUACAUGGAACAAUGGACUGGUUCCAAAUAGGGAAAGGAGUACGUCAAGGCUGUAUAUUGUCACCCUGCUUAUUUAACUUAUAUGCAGAGUACCUCAUGCAAAAUGUUGGGCUGUAAGAAGCACAAGCUGGAAUCAAGAUUGCCAGGAGAAAUAUCAAGAACCUCAGAUAUGCAGAUGACACCACCCUUAUGGCAGAAAGUGAAGAGGAACUAAAGAGCCUCUUGAUGAAAGUGAAAGAGGAGAGUGAGAAAGCUGGCUUAAAGCUCAACAUUCAGAAAAUUAAGAUCAUGGCAUCCGGUCCCAUCACUUCAUGGCAAACAGAUGAGAAAACAGUGGAAACAGUGUCAGACUUUAUUUUAGGGGGGGUCCAAAAUCACUGCAGAUGGUGACUGCAGCCAUGAAAUUAAAAGAUGCUUGCUCCUUGGAAGGAAAGCUGUGACCAACCUAGACAGCAUAUUGAAAAGCAGAGACCUUUGCUGACAAAGGUCCUUCUAGUCAAAGCUAUGGUUUUUCUAGUAAUCAUGUAUGUAUGUGAGAGUUGGACCAUAAAGAAAGCUGAGUGCUGAAGAAUUGAUGCUUUUGAGCUGUGGUGUUGGAGAAGACUCUUGAGAGUCCCUUGGACUGCAAGGGGAUCCAACCAGUCAAUCCUAAAGGAGGAAAGUCCUGAAUAUUCAUUGGAAGGACUGAUGCUGAAGCUGAACCUCCAAUACUUGGGCUACCUUCUGCAAAGAACUGACUCAUUGGAAAAGACCCUGAUUCUGGGAAAGAUUGAAGGUGGGAGGAGAAGGGGACAACAGAGGAUAAGAUGGUUGGAUGGCAUCACUGAGUUGAUGAACAUGAGUUUGAGCAAUCUCCACGUGUUGGUGAUGGACAGGGAAACCUGGCGUGCUGCAGUCCAUGGGGUCGCAAAGAGUCGGACAUAACUGAUAUCAGUGUUGACUUGUGGAUUCUUGUCUUAAUCAGUAGGUUAUACUUUGUGUCAUAAUUUAUUUUGAUCUUAAAUGAUCCCAGAAUAGGCCCCUUCUGGCUGGCUCUGGUGUCCUUAUGACAUGUCCCCAUCUUUACUGAACAUUUUCUGGCAUAGUAUUCCAGGGCCUCAUCCUGUUAUUUUUCUCUAGGAUCAUUGUUCUAAGGAUCUCUGAUUACUUUUUGAGUAGAAUAUGUAACCCCAAACUGGGAUCUAGAUAUUCUAAUUGCUACUCGAGUGUUACUGCUGUGAGGCCUUUUCAGUGGAUAUAUCUGUAAACACACCUACACAUAAUAUCUAUUUCUACCCUUCCCUUUUCCUCUAUCUGUUGAAAACCUUGAGUUCAUAAUGAUGAUUCAAAAUCCAAUCCAAAUGGCUUCUGUGCUACAGGCUACAGCUGUCUAGCAUUCUCUGUCUCUCAAAGUAUGGGGUCCUUUCAGGGGCUGUAUUUUCUGCUGUGCAUUUGGCCGUCUUAUAGGAGAAUAGGACAAAAGUGGAGAAAAAUAGUAGUCAACCACCACCCUAAUGAGGCUUUCAAUAACUUCAAGACAAUUUCUCCUACCCAAGAAAGUUGUAAAGUUGUAGCCUCUGUUUGCAUUAACAGUAUCAGCCAUCCCAAAGAAAUAACUACGGGCUUCCCUGGUGGCUCAGAUGGUAAAGAAUCUGCCUGCAACCCAGGAGACCUGAGGUCCAGCCCUGAGUUGGGAAGAUCUCCUGGAGUAGGGAAUGGCUAUCCACUCCAGUAUUCUUGCCUGUGAAAUCCCAAUGACAGAUGGGCCUGGUGGGCUACAGUUCAUGGGGUCGCAAAGAGUCAGACACAACUGAACUACUAACACUCACCUCCAAAGAUAACUACAGACCCAUGUAGUAUAACAGGAAAGGUCCCAAGUGUGGAGCAAAAUGAGUAAGAUGAACAUCCCUGAUGCAGUGGUGGAAGCCACAUAUACACACACACAGACACACACACACAUAUGUGUAUAUACACACACACUUAUACACAAUACUGGUUUCAUAGGACUGGUGUAACAAAUCACCACACACUUGGUGGCUUAAAAAACAACAGAAACUAAUUUUCUCAAGUUUCUGAAAUAAACUUGAAAAUAGAAAUGUAAGAAAUUUACACUUAUUAUUUUUUGUUUUCAGUUUUUUGUUUAUUUUUCAGUUGCUCUGUGAUUUCAGAUUAUGGUUUGUGGUAUAUGUGUAAUAAGUAAUUAUAAAACUGAUCAUUAAAACAUCUUAUUUCUGAGUAUGUUAGGAGUUUCUUAUAGAGCAUUGGGCUAAGAUUGUUUUUUCCACUUAGAUAAGCAGUUCCUGUUUGGGAUUUAGUAGCUUAAGAUAUGCAAAUCCAGUGUAAAUAAAAGCAUGAAUAUGGUUCAUCCUGUUCAAAGAAUUCCUUUACUAGGGAUUGUAUUUACAUGCUUGGUAAAUAAAACAUCAUGUUAACAAAAUUGGCUUUGAUUUGACUUUCAGCUCUUAGGCAUUCUAACCUCUAUCAGCUGUAAAAGAGCUCUUGUUUAUUUUUAAUGCUGCUUUAUAUGAUCUUUAGUUACCUCACAGUUAACGUUCAUGAUAAUGAAAAGGACGUGUUAGUUACAUCCUGGGUUGUCAAAAAACAGAAACAGAAAUAGAGAAGGCAUAAGCAUGUGAGUCACCACCAUCAGUAUAUCUCUUUCCUCUGGAUAAGGAGGGGUUCACAGUGGCUGGCCCAAGAAUAGCACACCUCUGUAUUUUUUAGGGAGUUCAGUUCCAUGUGGAAACUUUACAAAACUUUGUACCAGGUGUCAGCUCAUUCCCAGAGAGUCAGGCCAUGCAAGUUCCCCUGUGGACAGUUUGUCUACUGGGCGUGCUCCUGCAGAAGCCUUUGGAUAAUACAGCACUUGGCUUCUUUCUCAGUCUCUUUCAACUCUUAGGAGACCAUAGCUUUCUUUAUGCACAGGCCUACAAAAGGAACCUUGUUUUUAGAGAAUUUGUUAAUGAAGAUACCUCUGUGUUUACCACUUUCCCAUAGCUAAGGUAUUUUGUGGCUCAGUCGAUAAAGAAUCUGCCUGCAGUGCAGGAGACCCACCUGAGUGCAGGAGACCCAGGUUUGAUCCUUGGGUCAGGAAGAUCCCCUGGAGAAGGAAAUGGCAACACACUCCAGUAUUCUUGCCUGGGAAAUCCCAUGGACAGAGGAGCAUGAUGGACUGCAGUCCAUUGCAUCACAAGAGUAGGACAUGGCUUAGCGACGAAACCACCACCAUUUUGAACUUGGGUGUUUUCUGUUGAGGGGCACUAACCUCCAGAGAAAAUUUAAGUGAUUGAAUGUACAGAAAGCAACUUCUGAUUUUUUGAAAACUCAUCUGCUUUAUAAAUUAAUAACAUGCUAUAAAGUGAUGUUUACUUGAGAAAAGGCUCACACUGGAGGAUGAUCCUCAAAAAAAGAACCUAGUGUGUGCAUAGAGCAUAGAUAUAUAAAUUAAGAAACCAUACCAAGCAUGGGAAAUUUAGAAUUUUGGGAAAAAUCAGUUUAGGUUCUCCCUUUCACAUUUUGUCUGAAACUAAGCUACCUAUGUAAAAAUGUAGUAACUGCAUUAAAGAAUGAAUAGCAAAAUAAAACAAAAUUUAUGUAAACAUUUAUCUGGCUUUUGGGUGGAGAAGAAUUUACUGAACAAAAGAGUGUAAGAAUGUUUUCAUUACAUUUAAUAACUUGAAAAAGUUUCAGUUCAGUUCAGUCGCUCAGUCGUGUCCGACUCUUUGCGACCCCAUGAAUCGCAGCACACUAGGCCUCCCUGUCCAUCAGCAACUCCCGGAGUUCACUCAGACUCACGUACAUCGAGUCGGUGAUGCCAUCCAGCCAUCUCAUCCUCAGUCGUCCCCUUCUCCUGCCCCCAAUCCCUCCCAGCAUCAGAAUCUUUUCCAAUGAGUCAACUCUUCGCAUGAGGUGGCCAAAGUACUGGAGUUUCAGCUUUAGCAUCAUUCCUUACAAAGAUAUCCCAGGGCUGAUCUCCUUCAGAAGGGACUGGUUGGAUCUCCUUGCAGUCCAAGGGACUCUCAAGAGUCUUCUCCAACACCACAGUUUAGUGGUGCCUUAAAAAAGUCCAACAAAGUUAAAAGGUAAAACCUGAGACUGUUACUCUACACACGUUUAAUAUCUUGACUUUGUAAAGAGCUCAUGUAAGCUCAAUUGGUUGAUUUUAUUUUCUCCUUUUCUACCAACCUUGCCUUUAUACUGUUUUCAAUUGGUUUAUUAAGUUCUGUUUCCAUUUGGGCAGUUUGCACAUGCUAUCGUUUAGUUCACAACAGAACUAAGUUAGAGUUUUAGGUCCAGAGAGAGACAUCCCUUUUGGUGCCUUAUUCAAAUGAGUUAGUUCAUUGCUCUCUGUCUCCUACAGUUCUCACUUCAUUUUACAUUUUGUUGUGUCCUAUUUCUCUCCUUUUCCUUCUCGGCUCUGACUUCCUCCCUCCUUUUGAUGGGUUCUCUUCCUCUUUUUUUGCCUUACUAAAUUUAACAGAGGUUUUUUCCUUAUUGUUUCUUUUGUCUGAUGUAGGUUUCCUUCCUCUUGCCUUUAUUUUGCAAGAGUUGUAUCUUACACAGUUGGGGGCACUCCUUGAACCUGGAAGUCUUCACAGCCCCUUUUCUCUAGUGCCUGUUUUUCUUUAGAAUUAUUUAUCAAAUUAAAGCAGCAUAGGUGUGUUUUCAAACCUGUUUUUGUGUUAGAGCUAUUGAAACCUAGCUGGACAUAAAGAACUGAAAUUCUAAAUAAUUCUGAGAAGAAGCAUGGAACUUGCUUCUUCCAUGGAGGAGGAGUAAUUGGGUUGUGUUACGUUACUUAGGAGAAUGUGAUGCUGCUUAGUUUCUUUAUGGUCUUCAGGAGUGCUUACUUAGAUUGUUCUGCCUUUAACCAAAUUGUGGUCAUGCAAAACUGCAUUACUUUUGUCUGGGAAGUCCUCCCAGUAGUUAUGACAGACUCUUGCAGUUCUCAGACUUUUGUGGGUAUAAGCAAAGCCCUGGGGGAAUUGUUAAAAAUGUUCCACUCUUGGAAAUUACUAGUCAGUAGAUCUUUGGCAGGCCAUUUAAAAGCUGACUUUAAGAAGAAGCACCCUAGGUAAUUUUCAUGCAGGUCAUCAGCAGACCACAACUGGAAAAACGUUGCUGUGUGGCAUCAAGUCCAAACUUUGAUACGGCUUAUAAUGUUGUCCCACCUGCUCUCCAGCCCCAUUGUGCGUCUGCGGCACGCACCCCGUGUGCGUCUGUGGCACACAUCCUAUGCUCCAGAAAUGUUAAGCCAUUUAGGGUUUAGAAUUUAAAGAUAAAUUAGAUAGAAAUUAGUCUUGAGAGGAAGUGCAACUUAUACAAGUCACAUACUUGGAG
ensembl:lncRNA